UUCAAAAAGAGUUUAACAGAAUACUAACUUUGGGAGUUAGAGGAUAGUAAUUUACACUAUUUUUGAAU
rnacentral:tRNA from 1 species